UACGUAGGGUGCAAGCGUUAAUCGGAAUUACUGGGCGUAAAGCGUGCGCAGGCGGUUUUGUAAGUCUGUCGUGAAAUCCCCGGGCUCAACCUGGGAAUUGCGAUGGAGACUGCAAGGCUAGAAUCUGGCAGAGGGGGGUAGAAUUCCACGUGUAGCAGUGAAACGCGUAGAGAUGUGGAGGAACACCGAUGGCGAAGGCAGCCCCCUGGGUCAAGAUUGACGCUCAUGCACGAAAGCGUGGGGAGCAAACAGG
rnacentral:rRNA from 1 species